rnacentral:rRNA from 1 species
AGAUUGAACGCUGGCGGCAGGCCUAACACAUGCAAGUCGAGCGGUAGAGAGGUGCUUGCACCUCUUGAGAGCGGCGGACGGGUGAGUAAUGCCUAGGAAUCUGCCUAGUGGUGGGGGAUAACGUUCGGAAACGGACGCUAAUACCGCAUACGUCCUACGGGAGAAAGCGGGGGACCUUCGGGCCUCGCGCCAUUAGAUGAGCCUAGGUCGGAUUAGCUAGUUGGUGAGGUAAUGGCUCACCAAGGCGACGAUCCGUAACUGGUCUGAGAGGAUGAUCAGUCACACUGGAACUGAGACACGGUCCAGACUCCUACGGGAGGCAGCAGUGGGGAAUAUUGGACAAUGGGCGAAAGCCUGAUCCAGCCAUGCCGCGUGUGUGAAGAAGGUCUUCGGAUUGUAAAGCACUUUAAGUUGGGAGGAAGGUUGUAACUUAAUACGUUGCAACUUUGACGUUACCGACAGAAUAAGCACCGGCUAACUUCGUAGCCAGCAGCCG